UGUGUGGAGCUGAGAGUUUUCU
rnacentral:miRNA from 1 species